rnacentral:rRNA from 1 species
GCUAAUACCGCAUAAUCUCUGAGGAGGAAAGUAGGGGAUCGAAAGACCUUAUGCUUUUGGAGCGGCCGAUGUCUGAUUAGCUAGUUGGUGGGGUAAUGGCUUACCAAGGCGACGAUCAGUAGUUGGUCUGAGAGGACGACCAGCCACACUGGGACUGAGACACGGCCCAGACUCCUACGGGAGGCAGCAGUGGGGAAUUUUGGACAAUGGGCGCAAGCCUGAUCCAGCAAUGCCGCGUGAGUGAAGAAGGCCUUCGGGUUGUAAAGCUCUUUCAGUCGAAAAGAAAAGGUUAUGACUAAUAAUCAUAAUCUAUGACGGUAUCGACAGAAGGAGCACCGGCUAACUACGUGCCAGCAGCCGCGGUAAUACGUAGGGUGCGAGCGUUAAUCGGAAUUACUGGGCGUAAAGGGUGCGCAGGCGGUUCUGUAAGUCAGAUGUGAAAUCCCCGGGCUUAACCUGGGAACUGCGUUUGAAACUA